GACCUGGCUGGGCGGUCCGCUUAACGGCGUGUACUGUUCGGCUGGGCCUUACCUCUUGGUGAGCCGGCGUGCCCUUUAUUGGUGUGCGUCGGGGAACCAGGACUUUUACCUUGAGAAAAUUAGAGUGUUCAAAGCAGGCCUAUGCCUGAAUACAUUAGCAUGGAAUAAUAAAAUAGGACGUGUGGUUCUAUUUUGUUGGUCUUUUAGAGCUGCCGUA
rnacentral:rRNA from 1 species